GAACCUGCGGAAGGAUCAUUC
rnacentral:rRNA from 7 species